rnacentral:rRNA from 1 species
AUUGAACGCUGGCGGCAUGCCUUACACAUGCAAGUCGAACGGCAGCACGGGAGCAAUCCUGGUGGCGAGUGGCGAACGGGUGAGUAAUAUAUCGGAACGUGCCCAGUCGUGGGGAUAACGUAGCGAAAGCUACGCUAAUACCGCAUACGAUCUAUGGAUGAAAGCGGGGGAUCGCAAGACCUCGCGCGAUUGGAGCGGCCGAUAUCAGAUUAGGUAGUUGGUGAGGUAAAGGCUCACCAAGCCGACGAUCUGUAGCUGGUCUGAGAGGACGACCAGCCACACUGGAACUGAGACACGGUCCAGACUCCUACGGGAGGCAGCAGUGGGGAAUUUUGGACAAUGGGCGCAAGCCUGAUCCAGCAAUGCCGCGUGCAGGAUGAAGGCCUCGGUUGUAACUAGCUUUGUUACGG